CGGACGGGUGAGUAACACGUGAGAAUUCGCCUUUAGCGGGGAAUAACCAUCGGAAACAAUGGCUAAUGCCCCAUAUGCUCGUAAGAGUGAAAGGAGUAAUCCACCCAAAGAGAAGCUCGCGGCUGAUUAGCUAGUUGGUAAGGUAAUGGCUUACCAAGGCGACGAUCAGUAGCUGGUUUGAGAGAACGAUCAGCCACACUGGAACUGAGACACGGUCCAG
rnacentral:rRNA from 1 species